CAGCAGCCACGGGAAUACGGAGGGAGCUAGCGUUGUUCGGAAUUACUGGGCGUAAAGCGCGCGUAGGCGGUUACUCAAGUCAGAGGUGAAAGCCCGGGGCUCAACCCCGGAACUGCCUUUGAAACUAGGUGACUAGAAUCUUGGAGAGGUCAGUGGAAUUCCGAGUGUAGAGGUGAAAUUCGUAGAUAUUCGGAAGAACACCAGUGGCGAAGGCGACUGACUGGACAAGUAUUGACGCUGAGGUGCGAAAGCGUGGGGAGCAAACAGGAUUAGAUACCCGAGUAGUCCCUGUCUCUUAUAC
rnacentral:rRNA from 1 species